GGGUCCCAAUCCUCUUUCUCAUUGCCUGCAAACACAGCUCAAAAACCCCCGUGAAACUUCCCCACUAACCGUAACCCUCACGGAAGCCCACUUAGUAAUCUAGAAUCUCACAUUUUGAUAUAAACGUCUCCUUCCUCACCAGCCAUAAAAACCAGUGCUUACCUCUGUGAAGUAACUUCUCAAGAGUUCCUCAUUCAUGGCAACGGCUCCUCGAGCCCCGCUCAUGUCUCUGGACGCCCCAGUGGCUCUUGUUGUCCUUAUUGUGGUGUCAUUGGCAGCGAUGGAUCCUGCGGUGGCUACAUGGUGGCGGGAUGCUUUGGAAGAUUGUGGAACCAGUAGGAGGCGGACCUUCACUAAAGGAAGUGGACCGCUGCAGGUAGACCUUGGGGUUUUAUAGCCUGACACCACUCCCUGACUGCUCUCUGCUUCCAGACUACAAAUGAAACGUGACCAGCUUCUUCACACUUAAGCUACCAAGCCUUCCUUGCCGUGAUGGUUUGUAUCUCUCAAGCACUAAGCCUUUCCUUCCUUAAA